rnacentral:lncRNA from 1 species
AGAUCAUAAAAUAUUUCCAUACACCAAAUAUAGUUGACCUAUGGCAUAUAGCAUUAGAUAAAAAGACCAAAACUCAAAAACUUAACUUUGACCACUGAACCAUGAAAAUGAGGUCAAGGUCACAUGACAUCUGCCCGCUAGACAUGUACACUUAACAAUCAUUCCAUAUAACAAAUAUAGUAGACCUAUUGCAUAUGGUAUGAGAAAAACAGACCAAAACACAAAAAUUUAACUAUAACCACUGAACCAUGAAAAUGAGGUCAAGGUCAGAUGACACCUGCCAGUUGGACAUGUACACCUUACAGUCCUUCCAUACACCGAAUAUACUAGCCC